rnacentral:rRNA from 1 species
CAGCCGCCGCGGGAAUACGUAGGUGGCAAGCGUUGUCCGGAAUUAUUGGGCGUAAAGCGCGCGCAGGCGGAUAGGUCAGUCUGUCUUAAAAGUUCGGGGCUUAACCCCGUGAUGGGAUGGAAACUGCCAAUCUAGAGUAUCGGAGAGGAAAGUGGAAUUCCUAGUGUAGCGGUGAAAUGCGUAGAUAUUAGGAAGAACACCAGUGGCGAAGGCGACUUUCUGGACGAAAACUGACGCUGAGGCGCGAAAGCCAGGGGAGCGAACGGGAUUAGAUACCCCCGUAGUCCCUGUCUCUUAUACC